CUCUCCUUUCCCUCCCAGAACUGAGGAUCAGAGAAUUCAGGGCUGGAAGGAAGGUCUUGGGGCCAAAGCCUUGGUCUUUCGAAGGUAACUGAGUGGGUUGUUUUUUUAAAUUCUCUCUCCUGUUGUGGCCACCAACUCUGUCCUUUCCUUCCAGGCCCUGGUCUGCACCUGCCAAGAAGGGCUUGGUACCUGUUUGGGGAAAGAGGGGGUUGAACUCUCCACCCCAUUCUCUAUGUAAUUAUUCCCAGAGGGCCCGUGUCUGAUUCAUGCCCCACAGAGGAAGGAAGGAAGGAAGGAAAGGAGGGACAGAGGGAGGGAGGGAGGGAGGGAGGGAAGAAGGGAGGGUGGGAGUCGAAGGAAGGAAGGAGGCAAGGGCCACCAAGGGAGAGCGGGAAGGAGGAAGGAAGGUGGGGAGGGAGAGAGGCAGGCAGUGAUUAAUGUAGGAAAGCCAACUUACCGAGCACUUGUGGAAUGCCAGGCAUCGCCAUGCAGUACCUCCUUGAAUCUUCACAAUGAUCUUGAGGGCAGGAGCCCAACCUUAGGGUUCCAUGGAGACUAGAGCUGCACACAAGGCAGGUCCUCAACAGUAAAUUCAGUAAUUCCUUGAGUGAGCAAGUAUGUCAGUGAGGUAGGUAAUAUCACUAUUUAUAGACAGGGCAGUAACAGCUAUGGCAUCAUGGGGGUGGGGUUCAAAUCCACCUUUCCGGCCAGGCUUGGUGGCUCACGCCUGUAAUCCCAGCACUUUGGGAGGCCGAGGCGAGUGGAUCACUUGAGGUCAGGAGUUCAAGAUCAGCCUGGUAACAUGGUGAAACCUCAUCUCUACUAAAAAUACAAAAAUUAGCUGGGUUUGGUGGUGCGCGCCCGUAGUCCCAGCUACUCAGGAGGCCGAGACAUGAGAAUCACUUGAAGCUGGGAGGCGAAGGUUGCAGUGAGCUGAGAUCGCGCCAUUGCACUCCAGCCUGGGCGACAGAGCAAGACUUCAUCACAAAAAAACAAAAAAGAUCCAGCAUUCUUUGUCUCCAAGGCUUGCUCACUCAGCUCUGCACCCAGGCUUUUCACCUUUCACCUUGUGGUGCUAAGAGAAGUGGCCAUUCCAGUGACCACAUGACCCCCAGAUAUGAUGGGAGCUUGGUUCCCAGCAUCAGUCUUGCCCUGCUUGGCGUGGGAUGCCAGGGUGCACUGAGCCCCAGUCCCACCUUUAUUCUGCCAGCACUGCGCUUUAUAUGCACUAUCUCAUUUAACCCUCACACCACGGGCUGGGGAGGGGGUGGCUUCCAAUACCCUCAUUUUUUGGAUGAGGACCCUGGGGCUCAGAGAAGUAAAGUGGCUUGCCCAAGUUCACACAGCUGCCAACUGGGGGUGCUGGGGUUCCCGUCCUAUAUGGGGCACCUGGCUCCAUACUGUCAGGCCCAAGUUUAUAGAAUCCCUGAGGGGCCUGGUCUCUGGUCACUUCCUCAGGGCCAGCCUAAAGGCAAGAGCAGGGGGCAGGGUAGGAGGCCCUCUCCUCUCUGAGGAACCCUGCCAGGACUUCUCGCUAUGAGGACAGGCUUUGGCCAGGUCCCCAGGGCUCAGCUCAGGAAAAACACACCAGUCUGUGCCCGGUGCCUGUGGAGCUGGGUCCAUCCCAGAAUCAGGGGCAGCAGGUGGUGUGGCCAUGGGCAUGAGCAGCAGCUGGGCUGUGGUGUGUUGGCCACUGUGUUCUGGCCUGUUGUGCCGGUGUUUACAGUCCACAUUUUUAAUAAUCUGAUGUUAUGUUUGGCCCUGAAUCCCUUCUGCAGAGCCUAACCAAGGCUUGCCUCCAAGAUGGCCUUCUUGUUCCUUCCAACUCUUGCUCUGAAAUGAGCUGGGAAGAGAGACUCAGAGGGAGAGGGGAACUGGGAGGUAGCGCGAACUCCACCUGAUAUUUACAGAGCCCCUCCUGUGUGCCAAGUGCAUUUCUUAUGUUAAUUUUUUUUAUUAUUAUUAUUUGAGACAGAGUCUUGCUCUGUUGUACAGGCUGGAGUACAAUGGCGCAAUCUUGGCUCACUGAAACCUCCACCCCUGCGUUCAAGCAAUUCUCCUGCCUCAGCUUCCCAAGUAGUUGCGAUUACAGGCAUCUGCCGCCACGCCCGGCUAAUUUUUUGUAUUUGUAGUAGAGACAGGGUUUCACCAUGUUGGGCCAGGCUGGUCUCGAACUCCUGACCUCAGGUGAUCCACCCACCUCAGCUUCCUAAAGUGCUGGGAUUACAGGCAUGAGCCACCACGCCUAGCUGCUUAUGUUUGUUUGUUUACUUAAAGACAGGGUCUCACUUUGUCAGCCAGGCUGGACUGCAGUAGCAUGAUCAUAACAUACUGUUAACUCGAUCUCCCAGGCUUAAGCAACUCUCCAGCCUCAUCCUCCGGAGUAGCUGGAAUCACAGGCACACGCCACCACACCUGGCUAAUUAAAAAUGUUUUUUGUAGAGAUAGGGUCUUACUGUGUUGCCCAGGCUGUUCUCGAACUUUAGCCUCAAGCAAUCCUCCCGUCUUAGCCUCCCAAAGUGUUGGGAGGUCCCAUCAUAUCUGGGGGCUAUGUGGUCACUGCAAUGGCCACUUUCCUUAGCAUCCUGAGUCACCUAACCCAGCCUAAGUGCCGCCUUCUUCUUCUUCUUCUCCUUCUUCUUCUCCUUCUCCUUCUCCUUCUCCUUCUUCUUCUUCUUCCUCUUCCUCCUCUUCCUCUUCCUCCUCCUCCUCUUCCUCUUCCUCCUUCUCCCCUUCUUUUUCUUCUUCUUUCUUCUUUUUAAAUAUUUAUUAUACUUUAAGUUCUGGGGUACAUGUGCAGAACAUGCAGGUUUGUUACAUAGGUAUAUACAUGCCACGGUGGUUUGCUGCACCCAUCAACCCGUCAUCUACAUUAGGUAUUUCUCCUAAUGCUACCCCUCCCUUAACCCCUGCCCCGCUCACCUAAGUGCAUUUCUUAUGUUAGUUUUAGUUUUAUUCUAUCCCCCACAGUAAUCCAGGAUGAUGUGUUUUUUUCUACCCACUUUAUGGAUAAAACUGAGGCCCAAAGGGUAAAGCUGCCUGCCUGAGGCCUCACAUCCAGGCGUGGUGAGCCUGGGGCCUGGCCUCAGACACGUCCAGCUCCAGAGUCUGAAUGUCUCUCGUGAUGCAUGUUGAGCUGGAGGUGCAGCUGCGACCAUGGCUCCCUUGUAAGGAUUCAUCCACUCUGCAUCUUACCCCUUUCCCAGGGGUACCAUAAAGCUCUCUUUCCAGCUUUGGACAAGAACAGAGAUGAAUGGCUAUUCUGGAAGCAGAAAAGUCCAGGCCUUGGGCUAUCUCUUCUCUCUUAUCCCAUUUCCAUCUUUAGCACAGGGUGCCCAACGCCAGCCUGGGUGGUGGUGUAACUCAGCCAUGAAAUUAAAGGCGGGGCUUGCAGCCCACUCGCCUGCCAACCCUGUCGGCCCCGUGGCAUCAGGGGUAGCAAGGCCAGGCCUAUCUUUCUAGGAAAAGGUUCAGUGUGCAGUCAGGCCUGACUAAAGCCAUGCAAGGACCGCAAUCUCAAGGCCCCCAGCUCCAUCCCCUUCUUGUCUUGCUUCUCUCUGCUGUAGUGGUGUGAACAGUGAAAUCAUAUCCCAGCACCAGCACUUACUAGCUGUCUGAUUCGGCAAAAGUAAUAAUAUUAACAAUUGCAGCGCAUUAAUUGUGUUUCUGAGACAUCACUGAGUACCUUUCAUCCUUCUCUGACUGAAACCUCCCAGCAGCCAUUUGAGGUGGUAAGGUGACUGUUCCCAUCUUACAGAUGAGGGAUUUGCCUGUAGUUGCACAGCCAGCAAGUGGCAGAGGGCACACUCCUAACUACCAUGUCACUCAGCUUUUUAUGACUGCCUCUGAACCUCAGUUUUCUUAUCUGUAAAAUGAGACUGCUAGUUUCAACCUCACAAAACUAGCCUGGCAAUGCAACAACAAAAAUGCAGGUAAAGUGCUUAGGACAGAAGAGAUGCCUGAAAAAUGUGAGUUGCCUCAGUCUGUUAGUCAUUCGACAAACGUUUAGUGGGAUAGAUGAAGUCUUGCCCCCAUGGAGCUUCCAGCCAAAUGGGGAAGACAGUUGCUAAGCAAAUCAUGACACAUAAUUGAUUGGAUGAUUUUAAACAUGCCCUGGGCUGGUAGGGAGAAGUACAGGGUCAGGUAAAGCCUAGAAGUGGGUAGGGAAGAUGCUUGGGGGAACCGGAGAUUAGAAAGCCCUGGACCCCAAUGGCCUAAGGGAGGGCUUCUAUCUAGGGCAGUGGGAGAGGUCCUCAGGGCUGAAGACCCCUGGAUGCUUGAAGGUGCAGAGGAAUUCUCUCCCUGUCUGUCCCGCAGCAGCUGGGAAACCCCUGGGUGGUCUGAUUCCAGCGGCCCAACCUGGAACUGAUUGCCCGCGGUAAUAUUCCUGACCCAGGUAAAAAUGUGCCAGUUCUGCAGGCUAGUGUCUUCUGCUGGGACACUGGCAGCUUGCUCAGCAGAUGGGGGGACUUGUGUCUGAGGUCUAUGGAGGAUGAACCACAGCCUAGUCUGCCUUUUGUAUCCCGGCUGUGUGGAACCAGCCCAGCCUUGCCGGUUGUUGAGUCAAGAGCGGCCGGGACUUCCAGUUCGAAUCCCAUCUCUCCUGCUUCUUCCUUCUGAGUGAGCUCUAGAGCCUCAGUGUAUCUGCUCUGUGCAAAGGGGAUCUUAACACCUACUCUCUGGUUGUUCUGAAGAUUUAAUAGAAGGUUGAAUGUGAAGCUGGAAUUAGUUAUCAGAGACUUUUUUAAAAUCUACAGAAAGCACAUUAGUUGUCAGGCACAGUGCCAAGCACUUGACACACAUCGGCUCAUUUAAUUCAUAUCAAUAGUUCCUGAAGAAGGUGCUGGCAUUAUCCCUGUGUUACAGACAGGGAAACUAAGGCUCAAGAAAAAUUCAAAAACUUGGCCAAGGUCACGCAACUAGUGUGUUUACAAAGGGAGAAUAAAACACAUCAAGAAACUGCAAAUGGGCCGGGCGUGGUGGCUCAUGUCUGUAAUCCCAGCACUUUGGGAGGCCAAGGCAGGUGGAUCACUUGAAGUCAG
rnacentral:lncRNA from 10 species